rnacentral:tRNA from 1 species
GAGGGUAUAGCUCAGUGGUAGAGCGCAUGAUAAGCAUACAAGAGGUCCUGGGUUCAAUCUCCAGUACCUCCA